UACGAACCGUGCGAACGUUGUUCGGAAUCAUUGGGCUUAAAGGGCGCGUAGGCGGGCCGCCGAGUCCGGGGUGAAAUCCUCCGGCUCAACUUGAGAACGGCCCCGGAUACUGGAGGUCUCGAGGGGGGUAGGGGCACGCGGAACUGCGGGUGGAGCGGUGAAAUGCGUUGAUAUCCGCAGGAACUCCGGUGGCGAAGGCGGCGUGCUGGACCCUUUCUGACGCUGAGGCGCGAAAGCCAGGGGAGCAAACGGG
rnacentral:rRNA from 1 species